rnacentral:rRNA from 1 species
CCUACGGGAGGCAGCAGUGGGGAAUUUUGGACAAUGGGCGCAAGCCUGAUCCAGCAAUGCCGCGUGCAGGAUGAAGGCCUUCGGGUUGUAAACUGCUUUUGUACGGAACGAAACGGUCUGCUCUAAUACAGUGGGCUAAUGACGGUACCGUAAGAAUAAGCACCGGCUAACUACGUGCCAGCAGCCGCGGUAAUACGUAGGGUGCGAGCGUUAAUCGGAAUUACUGGGCGUAAAGCGUGCGCAGGCGGUUAUAUAAGACAGAUGUGAAAUCCCCGGGCUCAACUUGGGACCUGCAUUUGUGACUGUAUAGCUAGAGUGCGGCAGAGGGGGGAGUGGAAUUCCGCGUGUAGCAGUGAAAUGCGUAGAUAUGCGGAGGAACACCGAUGGCGAAGGCAAUCCCCUGGGCCUGCACUGACGCUCAUGCACGAAAGCGUGGGGAGGCAAACAGGAUUAGAUACCCUGGUAGUCCACGCCCUAAACGAUGUCAACUGGUUGUUGGGUCUUCACUGACUCAGUAACGAAAGCUAACGCGUGAAGUUGACCGCCUGGGGAGUACGGCCGCGAAGGUUGAAACUUAAAGGAAAUUGACGG